UCCUGGUUAGCUUAGUUGCUAGAGCGCUCCUCUAAAUGGAGAGGUUCCUGGUUCGUUACCAGGACCAGGCG
rnacentral:tRNA from 1 species